GGCAGUUCUUGGUUGAUGCACCCCAGAAUUGGGCUCCCUCCUCUCUGGUUCCAGGUGUGUCACCUGAGAACCGUC
rfam:Myotis brandtii contig161776, whole genome shotgun sequence.